AAGUGCCUCCUGUCUCUCUGUUCUGUCCUUUCAGGUUUAGGACUUGCUGGCAGGAUCCUGUCGCGGCUCGCGACAAUUGUCAGUACAGGAAGACUUUGCACGGAAAGGGAAUCAGAGGCCAAACUCAGAAGUCCAAGUAUAGAAGUCCAGACAAAUCCCACACCGCUGUUAGAACAGUCUAAGUCCAGACAAGAGGAAGGAGCCCUGAGAGGAGCACAGCCCCACAGCUAACAGAAACCAACCCUACACAUCUGAUUCCUCCCUCCAGAAAGAAUUGAACUCGUGUGUACUGACGAAGCAUCAGGCCUUUUCCCCCAGGCCUCAUCUCUAUCUGCUUAGAUUAAAC